GAUGAACGCUGGCGGCGUGCCUAAUACAUGCCAGUCGAGCGAACAGACGAGGAGCUUGCUCCUCUGACGUUAGCGGCGGACGGGUGAGUAACACGUGGAUAACCUACCUAUAAGACUGGGAUAACUUCGGGAAACCGGAGCUAAUACCGGAUAAUAUAUUGAACCGCAUGGUUCAAUAGUGAAAGACGGUUUUGCUGUCACUUAUAGAUGGAUCCGCGCCGCAUUAGCUAGUUGGUAAGGUAACGGCUUACCAAGGCAACGAUGCGUAGCCGACCUGAGAGGGUGAUCGGCCACACCGGAACUGAGACACGGUCCAGACUCCUACGGGAGGCAGCAGUAGGGAAUCUUCCGCAAUGGGGGAAAGCUUGACGGAGCAACGCCGCGUGAGUGAUGAAGGUCUGCGGAUCGUAAAACUCUGUUAUUAGGGAAGAACAAAUGUGUAAGUAACUAUGCACGUCUUGACGGUACCUAAUCAGAAAGCCACGGCUAACUACGUG
rnacentral:rRNA from 1 species